rnacentral:rRNA from 1 species
GCCAUUUCUAGCCCAACCAUCCACACAUAUAACCAAACACACCAUUAAAACAAAACAUUCACCACACUUAAAGUAUAGGAGAUAGAAAUAUAUCUUAGGAGCUAUAGAGAUAGUACCGUAAGGGAAAGAUGAAAGAUCGAUUAACAGCACUAAAAAGCAAAGAUUCACCCUUGUACCUUUUGCAUAAUGAAUUAGCUAGAAAUCAUUUGGCAAAAAGAAUUUUAGUCAAAGACCCCGAAACUAGACGAGCUAUCUGCGAGCAGCUCUCAAGAACGAACCCGUCUAUGUGGCAAAAUAGUGGGACGACUUGCAGAUAGAGGUGAAAAGCCAAACGAGCCUAGUGAUAGCUGGUUGUCCAAACAAGAAUUUUAGUUCAACUUUAUGCCUACCAGCAGAAACUCUAAUCAAAAUGUAAGCAUAAAAUCUAAUCUAAGAGGGGACAGCCCCUUAGAACCAGGAUACAGCCUGAAUUGGAGAGUAAGUUUCACCUACUACCAUAGUUGGCCUAAAAGCAGCCACCAAUUAAGAAAGCGUUAAAGCUCAACAUCAACCCGAAAACCAAAUCCCACAUAUAACUACAAACUCCCAAAACACUAAUACUGGACCAAUCUAUAAACUUAUAGAAGAAACACUGCUAAUAUGAGUAACAAGAACCCACCUUCUCCUCAGCACAAGCUUAUAUCAGAUCGAAUACUCACUGAUAGUUAACAAUGAUACGUAAACACCCCACACCUAAAAACUUACGUAAUUUCUACUGUUGACCCGACACAGGAGUGCAAUCAAGGAAAGAUUAAAAGGAGUGGAAGGAACUCGGCAAACCCAAGCCCCGCCUGUUUACCAAAAACAUCACCUCUAGCAUCACAAGUAUUAGAGGCACUGCCUGCCCAGUGACGCAAGUUCAACGGCCGCGGUAUCCUGACCGUGCAAAGGUAGCAUAAUCACUUGUUCCUUAAUUAGGGACUUGUAUGAAUGGCAACACGAGGGCUUAGCUGUCUCCCACCCCGAAUCAGUGAAAUUGACCUCCCCGUGAAGAGGCGGGGAUAAGACAAUAAGACGAGAAGACCCUAUGGAGCUUUAAUUAACUGGCUUACGCAAACAAACCACUCCUCUACACGAGCCCAGCAAAUUAUGCCCCUAAGCCAGAAAUUUUGGUUGGGGUGACCUCGGAGCAUAAAUCAACCUCCGAAUGGAUACAGCCAUGACUAACCCGUCUAAGCAACUAAACCAUCAAUUGACCCAAUUUAUUGAUCAAUGGAACAAGUUACCCUAGGGAUAACAGCGCAAUCCUAUUCUAGAGUCCCUAUCGACAAUAGGGUUUACGACCUCGAUGUUGGAUCAGGACACCCAAAUGGUGCAACCGCUAUUAAAGGUUCGUUUGUUCAACGAUUAAAGUCCUACGUGAUCUGAGUUCAGACCGGAGUAAUCCAGGUCGGUUUCUAUCUAUUCACUCACUCCUCCCAGUACGAAAGGACAAGAGAAGUAGAGCCCACUGUACCCUCAGCGCUCUAAGCCCAAUAGAUGAAACAAUCUCAAUCUAGUAAACUAAUCCUACCCUGCCCUAGACCAGGGCUU